rnacentral:rRNA from 1 species
UACGUAGGGGGCUAGCGUUGUCCGGAUUUAUUGGGCGUAAAGAGCGUGUAGGCGGCCAGGUAGGUCUGGUGUGGAAACUCGAGGCUUAACCUCGAGAUGUCAUCGGAAACCAUUUGGCUAGAGUCCGGAAGAGGAGAGUGGAAUUCUUGGUGUAGCGGUGAAAUGCGCAGAUAUCGUCAAGAACACCUAUUGCGAAGGCAGCUAACUAAGCUUUAACUGACGCUGAUGCACGAAAGUGUGGGGAUCAAACAGG